GAAAAAUGGGUCAAAUAAUUGGAUCAUAUCUUCUUCCCUAAAUCAGAGGUAAUCGGAUCAUAUCGAUCGUAUUCCUCAUUCCUCAGAUCACUUAUUACGCCAUUAUCGAUCGGAGCUUUGUUGUUCGCCGCCUGCUCCAUCCCUACCUCUCUUUUGCCUACCUCGACCUCCCUAAAUUUGAUGCUAAAUCAGAGGUAACAUUUUUCUCUCUUCUUUUUUGCUCUAUUUUUCUCGAUCUCUCCAUUGAAUCUUUCUUCUUCGCACAUCGUCGCUGUCUGGUCGUCGCCGUCGAUUGCUGCUUCUUCCGGUCAUCUUUCUCAUUGACCCUGUGCAGGUACUAUCCUUGAUCCUCCCUAAAUCCCUUCCUCGGUUUCUCCUUCUCCACUCUUCUGUGAACUUAGCCGGUCAUGAUUUUGUUUCAGAACUUCUAAAUCUUCCAAUGAAUUUUGUUUCAGAACUAAAAUUAUUGUUCAUUACGCAUUACAGAACACUGUAUCACACUCUCAUACACACUUAACAUAUAUACACCUCUACUGCUCUUUUAAAAGGAUUUU
rnacentral:lncRNA from 1 species